GUGCUUAAAAUGCAUUUUUCUCUUUUCUCUGGAAUAGUCUGGUCAAAGCUGAAGUCACAGAAAGCAUUAGAGCGCUGGCAGCCAGACACAGAGGAGGAAUAUGAAGACUCCAGCGGAAACGUGGUCAACAAGAAGACUUAUGAGGAUCUGAAGCGACAGGGGCUUCUGUAGCACAACAAACAAGAUCUCUGAACACACAAAAUACUCGCAGUGUAAAUACUGAGGCAGAAAUGUGAUAAGUUUAGUCCUCUUGUCUUUUCCAGUUUGUGAGAAAUAUGAUUGGUCUUUUUGAAAGCGAUCAGUUUGUACAUUUUUAUUACUAUUUGAUUAUUCCCAAUUUUUCUCAUUUGGUGUCUUAAAUAUGAGACUUUCAUUAAUCAAUAAAUUGUAGUACAUUGUGUGAAAAAUGAU